rnacentral:tRNA from 1 species
UGAGAAUUAGUUAAAUAUAUAACAUAAGCUUGUCGUGCUUAAAUUAUCUAAAAUAAAGAUAUUUUCAA